rnacentral:rRNA from 1 species
GACGAACGCUGGCGGCGUGGAUUAGGCAUGCAAGUCGAACGGUAUCAUCCUUCGGGGGUGAGAGAGUGGCGAACUGGUGAGUAACACGUAGGUUAUCUACCCUCAAGACGGGACAACCCAGGGAAACUUGGGCUAAUACCGGAUGUGAGCAACUUUUAGUGUUUGAAAGGUGGCGUAAGCUGUCGCUUGGGGAUGAGCCUGCGUCCUAUUAGUUAGUUGGUGAGGUAACGGCUCACCUAGGCAAUGAUAGGUAGGCGGCCUUAACGGGUGGUCGCCCACACUGGGAUUGAGAUACGGCCCAGACUCCUACGGGAGGCAGCAGUCGAGAAUAGUCUACAAUGGUCGGAAGACUGAUAGUGCGACGCCGCGUGAACGAUGAAUCCCUUCGGGGUGUAAAGUUCUUUUAUAUGUGAGCAGUGCUUCUUAUAUUAACAGUAUGGGGAGAGAGAUAUUAGCAUAUGAAUAAGCAACGGCUAACUCCGUG